ACGCUGGCGGCAGGCCUAACACAUGCAAGUCGAGCGGCAGCACGGGUACUUGUACCUGGUGGCGAGCGGCGGACGGGUGAGUAAUGCCUAGGAAUCUGCCUGGUAGUGGGGGAUAACGUCCGGAAACGGACGCUAAUACCGCAUACGUCCUACGGGAGAAAGUGGGGAUCUUCGGACCUCACGCUAUCAGAUGAGCCUAGGUCGGAUUAGCUAGUUGGUGAGGUAAUGGCUCACCAAGGCGACGAUCCGUAACUGGUCUGAGAGGAUGAUCAGUCACACUGGAACUGAGACACGGUCCAGACUCCUACGGGAGGCAGCAGUGGGGAAUAUUGGACAAUGGGCGAAAGCCUGAUCCAGCCAUGCCGCGUGUGUGAAGAAGGUCUUCGGAUUGUAAAGCACUUUAAGUUGGGAGGAGGGGCAGUAAAUUAAUACUUUGCUGUUUUGACGUUACCGACAGAAUAAGCACCGGCUAACUCUGUGCCAGCAGCCGCGGUAAUACAGAGGGUGCAAGCGUUAAUCGGAAUUACUGGGCGUAAAGCGCGCGUAGGUGGUUUGUUAAGUUGAAUGUGAAAUCCCCGGGCUCAACCUGGGAACUGCAUCCAAAACUGGCAAGCUAGAGUAUGGUAGAGGGUGGUGGAAUUUCCUGUGUAGCGGUGAAAUGCGUAGAUAUAGGAAGGAACACCAGUGGCGAAGGCGACCACCUGGACUGAUACUGACACUGAGGUGCGAAAGCGUGGGGAGCAAAC
rnacentral:rRNA from 1 species